UCCUGUUUUUAAUCGACUUUACUUGUGUAUUUUAAGCUUUUUUGUUGCUGUGCUUUUUCUGGAGAUUUUAGUUGGAUUGGAAAGCUCCUGUGUAAGGUACCCAUUCCUAAAGAAAAAUUGAAGUAAUUUGUACAAUUAAAACGCGCCGAGCUGUGUUUUAUUUUAUUGUUUCUAAGAGGAUGUAAGAAUACAAUAUUAUCAAUUUUAAUUGGUUUUAUCCAAAUCAAGAUUGUGUACAAUGGGAGUGAGUGAUGUAAUCUUCUAAUGCGUGUGGUGAAAAGAAGGCGAAUCCGUUAUUGUUUUUCUGCCCAAAUUUGAAGCUAUUUAAUAAAUCUUGAUAAAGUUAAAAAACUGUUUUGA